AGCGUUAUCCGUCGUGAUUGGGUGUAAAUACAGCUAGGCUGCUUAGUAGGUGAUUAUUAAAAAAAACUGCUUUAGGGUUUUUAUAAUAACUAACUAAUGCUUGAAUCGGUUAGACGUCUGUGGAAUCGUAGGGGGAGCGGUAAAAUGCUUAGAUAACUACGGGAUUUCCGAAAUAUGGCAAGGCGGCUUGCGAUAACCGAUUGACGCUGAACUGUUAAAGUAUAAGUCUCGAAGAGGAUUGGAGACCCUCGUAGUUUAUACCCUGAAUAAUGAAUGUCAAUUUUUGAAGUUAGCUAACGCACGAACAUUCUGCCUGAAGAGUAUGGCCGCAAGGGCCAAAUUUAAAGAGAUUGGCGGGAGCUUAGAUAAAUGGUGGAAUAUGUGGUUUAAUUCGAUAAUCCGCGAGAAACCUUACCAGUGUACGACGCCAAACAAAGAAAACUAAAUAUCUAGUUUUAUCGUUGUUUGUUUUCGCCUAGGUACUGCAUGGCUGUCAUCAGUUUGUUAUGUAGGUUUACUUCGAACACAAUCUUUAAUAGUUUUUAGGGCGAUUAUCGGUGCGGUUUGAUACUAGCUACCGCCUAUACUGCCUAUUAAAACUCCUUUAGCCCUUAACGGUUAAAUAGAGAGGGGAAGUCAAGUCAUUAUGGUCUUAAUAUGCUGGGCCACACACGUAUUACAGGGCUAGAAACAAUGAGUACCGCCUUAAGGCGUUUAUUUCUAAAAACUAGCCCGGUUCGGAUUGUUUAUUGAAAUUGAUAAGCAUGAAGCAGGAAUCAUUAGUAAUCGCAAAUAAGAUCGCUGCGAUGAAUCUUUUUACGCUUUGCACACACCGCCCAUCAUAUUCGAAGAGUUGUCUUGGUUUGAAGAUUACCUAAACCUCGGUAUCUGUAGGUUACUGUAGGAUAAACCGUCUAAAAACAAGGUG
rnacentral:rRNA from 1 species